rnacentral:rRNA from 1 species
AUCUAUUUAAUUCUGGUUGAAGAAGAGGGGGAGGCAGGUCUACAUAAAAGAGGUUUAUGGUCUCAACAGAGGAUGUCGUUGUUGAGGUUUAGUAGCUAGAUCUUAGGUUUUGGAGUAAUCCAGAUUAGGUUGCCUCUCGAAAAGUGGUGAAUACUCAGUGCCAGCAUCCGCGGUUAUUCUGUUAGCUUUGUCUUCUGCGAUAGGUUAAAAUGGUUUAAGAGUUAGUGGCCAGUAAGGGGUAGAAUCUUUCUGGUUUUGAAAUUGGCUCUUAGGCGUUUUGAUGUCACGAUAAAUUAAGGGGAUUAGAUACCCCCGUAAUGGUGUUUAAGUUUUGUUCCUUAGUAUAAACUAAAAGGAUUUGGCAGCCGACGAGGUUCUUCCGGGGGAGCGUGUAUCAUAAGAGAUAGUCCACUCAAGAAUCAACCCCCUUUAGCUUAGUUAGUGUAUAUCCGGUUUAAAAUUUGUGGUUAAUGUCUAUGAGUGUAACUAUUUGUUUAAUCCAGGUCCAUGUGCUGCUUAUAUUGGGGGGUUUAUGCGCUACAGUUGUAAAGGGAUAGAUAGGAAGGUUAUUUAUCAGGUUUAGGACUCGGAAGUAGGCGUUAUGUAGAAUUAGUAUGUUGUGUCGAAGCUGAUUUAGUUGGGGUACACACCGCCCGUCACCCAGGGCGAUAGCUGUGGUAAGUCGUAACAUGGUAAUGCUAGGGGAACCUGGUGUUAGUUGGUUUAUUGCUGUAUGCAAGAAUCU